GAGAACCUCCCGGACCCCACUCUGUUCCUGGGGAUUCGUCCUUCCCACCAGAGCACCGCCAGGAACUGAAGGUAAUUUUCCGUGACUAGAGUGCAGUGUACUUGCACUUGUGAGUGUCCGGGUGGCGAUGGAGGUGUAGUCAAGGGACGGACCUUGCCUGCCAGCUGAAAGUCAAGGGAAGUCAACCAGGCUUCCUGAAGAGGGAAGACUGCCAGGACAUGGAGGAAGAUGGAGGUAUACAGUGGAAGAACUAUGGGUUCUCAUUAUUGCUGAUUUUGGGAGAAACAAUCAGAAACACCCAGGAACUGCAACAGAAAGUCUAUGCCAGCAUAGUUCCAACAAUUAUCCGGAAUUUCCUCAAGGAAUAUUGUCAGGUCUGUGAACCAAAUACCGGCUAUCAACUCUCCUGUAGAAAAGCUAUCAAGAUUCAAAGACAAAGAUGUAGAUGUAAGGCUCUAUUCACCUGUCUGUGUAAUACUGAGGGGGAGGAAGGUGGAGAAGGGUGGUGGUGGUUCAAGAACAGUAUGACAAAUAUCACAUAUAUUUUUCUAUUCUUUGCGUUGGUUGGGUGGGAUGCAAUUUAGAAUGAUUACUUUGAAAAGUACAAUUAAUAAAUUCCCCUCUGUUCUAACCUACCAGAAAUUACUUAUGAUUCAUUCAGCAACAAUUAUUGAGUGUAAACCACGUUCCAGACACUGCACAGGUUCUAAAGAAAAGAGCCAGAAGGGUAAAUACAUACUUAAACUAAGAUUUUGAGUAGCCCUAUUGUAUGGAAAUAAAUGUCUGCCUGCAUUCUAUUAUUUUUUUAUGCUGCCUUUAACUGGAAAUUAUGUAAGAAUCUUUAAA